GACGAACGCUGGCGGCGUGCUUAACACAUGCAAGUCGAACGGUGAAGCGAGUGCUUGCACUCGUGGAUCAGUGGCGAACGGGUGAGUAACACGUGAGUAACCUGCCCAUCACUCUGGGAUAAGCACUGGAAACGGUGUCUAAUACUGGAUACGACCAACCCUUGCAUGGGGUGUUGGUGGAAAGAUUUAUCGGUGAUGGAUGGACUCGCGGCCUAUCAGCUUGUUGGCGGGGUAAUGGCCAACCAAGGCGACGACGGGUAGCCGGCCUGAGAGGGUGACCGGCCACACUGGGACUGAGACACGGCCCAGACUCCUACGGGAGGCAGCAGUGGGGAAUAUUGCACAAUGGGCGAAAGCCUGAUGCAGCGACGCCGCGUGAGGGAUGACGGCCUUCGGGUUGUAAACCUCUUUCAGCAGGGAAGAAGCGAAAGUGACGGUACCUGCAGAAGAAGCACCGGCUAACUACGUG
rnacentral:rRNA from 1 species